rnacentral:rRNA from 1 species
AUGGCCUCCGACCGCCUCAGCGCGCUCCGGGCCUUCGACGACACCAAGGCCGGCGUCAAGGGCCUCGUCGACGCCGGCGCCACCGCCAUCCCGGCCAUCUUCCACCACCCACCCGACGCCUUCGCCCCGUCCACUCUCGCCACCGACGUCGCCGUCCCGGUCGUCGACCUCUCCUGCCAGCGCUCGGACGUGGUCGGCGCGGUGAGGGCCGCGGCGGAGACGGUGGGCUUCUUCCUGCUGACGAACCACGGCGUGCCGGAGGCGGCCAUGUUGGGGAUGCUGGCGGCGGUGCGGCGCUUCAACGAGGAGCCGGCGGAGGCCAAGGCGCCGUACUACACGCGGGAGGCGGCGAGGCGCGUGCGCUACAGCUGCAACGCGGACCUGUUCCAGACGCUGGUGGGCAAGUGGCGCGACACCGUGUACAUGGACGACGCGGACCGGCCGGCGGCGGGCGAGGAGACGGAGGAGGAGCUCCUCCUCCCGCCGGCGCUGAGGGGCGUCGCGCCGGAGUACACGGGGCAGAUGCGGCGGCUGGGGCGCGGCCUCUUCGAGCUGCUGUCGGAGGCCCUGGGGCUGCCUCGCCGUGCCUACCUGGAGGAGGAGGCCGGCUGCAUGGCGGCGCUGAGCGUGGCGGGCCACUACUACCCGGCGUGCCCGGAGCCGCACCUCACGAUGGGCACCGUCCCGCACUCGGACCCCAGCUUCCUCACCGUGCUGCUCCAGGACGGCGUGGGCGGCCUCCAGGUGCUCGUGGACGACCCCCUCGAGGACGGCGGCGGCGAGCGUUCGGCGUGGGUGGACGUGCCGGCGACGGGGGAGGCGUCGCUGGUGGUGAACGUGGGCGACUUCCUGCAGCUGGUGUCCAACGACAGGUUCAAGAGCCCGGUGCACCGCGUGGUGUCCAGGAGCGUGGGGCCGCGGGUGUCGGUGGCGUGCUUCUUCAGGGCGGACGGCGCGACGGUGUGCGCCCCGGUGGUCGUCGACGGGAGCGGCCCGCCGCGGUACAAGAGCGUCAAGGCGGAGGAGAUGCUCUGCGUGUCCAACACACAGACCCGGCUCAACAACUUGAGGCUCUAG